UUCUAUAAUUGAAGAUUGAGGGGCUGGUGUUACAAUGGAGUUGGAAAUGCAGUGGGAGGGCAAUCCAAGCAUUAUACUUGAUAUUAAAACUCUGCUUGGUAUUGCACUACCAGUGCAGAAAAACUUGGAUUUUACGUUGAAAGUCGUUGGUGGUGACAUAUCAGCAAUCCCUGGAUUAUACGAUGCAAUUGAGGGGACAAUUCGGGAUGCAGUUGAAGAUUCUAUUACAUAGCCUAUGAGAAAAGUUGUAACUAUCUUGCCAGGAGAC